AAUUUCUUAUUAUAAUAAGUAUUUUUAAUUUCCAAUUAAAAGGUCAAGAGAUUA
rnacentral:tRNA from 1 species